rnacentral:misc_RNA from 1 species
AACGCACAUUGCGCCCGCCAGUAUUCUGGCGGGCAUGCCUGUUCGAGCGUCAUUUCAACCAUCAAGCCCCAGGCUUGUGUUGGGGGCCUGCGGCUGCCGCAGCCCCCUAAAAGCAGUGGCGGGCUCGCUGUCAUUCCGAGCGCAGUAGUUACAUCUCGCUCUGGGCGUGGCGGUGGGCACCUGCCGUGAAACACUCUUUCUAAGGUUGACCUCGGAUCAGGUAGGAAUACCCGCUGAACUUAA